CUGCGCCACGAGUGGCAAUCGCAUUACUAGGCCUAAAGCGUCCGUAGCCGGUUUUGUAAAUCUUUUGUGAAAUCGUCAAGCUCAACUUGACGGCGUGCAGGAGACACUGCAAGACUAGAGACCGGGAGGAGCUGGAGGUAUUUUUGGGGAACUGGUAAAAUGGUAUAAUCCCAAGAAGACCACCUGUGGCGAAGGCGUCCAGCUAGAACGGUUCUGACGGUGAGGGACGAAAGCUAGGGGAGCGAACCGGAUUAGAUACCCGCGUAGUCC
rnacentral:rRNA from 1 species